CGGAAGUAGCUUGAAAAUAAAGCCAUCCAUGUUUCCUGCUGUCUCUCUACUCCUCAUCUUUUGCACGAAAUCUGGUUGGCACACUUAUGGAACCAGUUCCCCUUGAGGGUCGAAAGUGGCCAGGAUGUUUCCCAUCUAACGUGAGAUCUGCAUUUUCGUCUCUUCCUUGUUUCUUCACCCGUGCAAAAGAGGAAGAUCUCCUUUGAAUCUGGGGACUGGCUGAGGUGUGCUGAAACAGGCUUGUGCCAGUGGAGAGACCUAAUCUGUGCCUCUCCUCUCACCUUCAUGCUCAGUGAUAUCGUGUCGGAGAGCGCCCACUGACAGCACGUCACUGGAAAUACCCCUUUAAAAAAAUCUCUCAGAGGAACCAGCAGCCGGUGCAAUUAGAAUCUUCUCCAUGCCACUCCCCACCUCUCUGGAAGCUCCAGUGCUA